CUUAUGUUUCUAUUAUUCUUUUACCACCUGCAUGUCUUAACGUUUACCUAAUUUUAUAUAUGGUAUUUAUUUGUCUUUUCCCCUUUUGCUCUUUUUUUUUCUUUUGGGACCUUUUUUAGAUGACAAGAGGAGGCAGAAUGGUCGUUAAUGCUGCUGCAAUGUGCCAGAAAAAUAAGUAGUUUAAAGAGGCAGUUGUUGAAGGUGAUGUUGCAACACAACACCCAAAGAAGAAGACGUUUAAGAAGUUCAGUUCACAAAAGCCGAUCUUAGUUUCUCCACUAUUGUCUUCAAGAAAAUGUUUUUUCUACAACCAACCAACAAUGUACCACUCUUGUACCAAUAAAUUUCAGCUUUGACACUUUUUGUACCAGCAAAUGGUUAUAUUUAGUACUUUCACAAGCUAACAACAUAACAAUGUAAUCUUUGUUCCACAUACUAUGAAGCAUAACUCUUUCUGCCACAUAUUAUGAGACAUAACUGUUUUAUCUACCAUCAUAUUUUCACCCUUGCAUAGCACGGACACGGGCCCACUAGUUUUUUAAAGAAAUAGAAAGUCCUCUUCUAAAUAUUCUCUCAAUUGAUGGUAGGAUUUUUGUGGGGGACAAGACGAGAGCCGAAGCUCCCUUUUGGAGCAGAACCAUUAUUGGUGGUAACAUGCCGCAUUACAGCCACUAACAUUAUGGUCAUAUUUUCUUAAUUCUCUCAUGUUAUUUGUGUAUGGUGUUUUUAUUAUCGCACUAAUUUGUUAUUGUUAUUGUUUCUUUCUAGUAGACUUUGUAUUGUUUCUUGUUAGUUGCUAUAUUUUUCUUACG